CCAUUCCCACAGCCAAUGGAAGUUCCUGGAACCCACCCCUCUGAAACGACGCAAGCUGCUGCAGUCAGAUCCUUAACCCAUUACCACAGUGGGAACUCUAGAAUGUAAACAGUUUUAAGCAGCUUUGUGGAGAUUUCCUAAUAGAAAUUCCUUCUUGCAAAACACCCUUAUAAAAUUAGGUUAAAAUUUACCCUUUUCCUACUCUGCUUGUCAACAAGCUUGAAAAGUUAGUGCUGUACUGACAGAUAGGCCGCAGGCUAAUUUCCUAGCAAAUCACUAGUGAAAUACUUUAUAAUGCACUGCAAUUAUUUUAUGGUAUUAUUGCAUCAAUCAAGAAACAUUUAUUGAGUGCCUAUUAUGUUCUUGGCCUUGUGAACAAUUUGAAAAUAUAACAGCCAUCAUCUUUUAUUUCUUCUUUGAUUGUUUUUGCAAGAGUGGUUAAAUUAUGUCAACCUGCAAAGUAGUUAAAACAGGCAAGUAAAACGUUUUCAUUUUUUUCAAAUGCUAUCCAAUAAUGUAUCACUAAUUUAAAAAAUCAGAAGUAGUUAAUGCCAGGAUCUACUUGGAUAUAUUUUUAAAACUGUGCAUAGUCAUUUCUCAUUCAGGUUAAAAAGAAAUCUUUCAUAUUUUCAAAUUGAACAAUCAAACCUAUAUAGCAUCAGUUAAUAAAACCCAGAAAGUUUAUAAGCUGGUUGGAAAAUAAUUACACCUGUUAUUUCCUGUGAAAAAAAUUAAUGCUUAAGGCAAGAAGCUUGGCUAUAAAUCCAGGGUGAUGUGUCCAGAUGCCAGCAGUUUUCUACAGCUAGAAAAGGUCUUGGGGGAUCCUGUUUAAUUUCUCUCCUCUGUUCUCAUCCACAUAAAUCUCCCACAAUCUCUCUUUGUGCUUUACUUCCUGACAUUUCCUGAGAGAGCUUGAGUCCAAGGGAUUCCUAAUGGCUGUUUAUUAAAAUGAAAUUUCUCUGCAGGGUCCCAAGCUCCCUUCCCUCACCUUCCCAACCUAGAUGGAAUCUCUAGAUGGUUCUAGUUGCAGCGGUCAAUUCAGAAUGCAGUUUUCCCAUUGAGCCUGUGGGGAUGCAAAACAGGAGAGACUGGAUUUGCUCCUCUUUUAAAGCCAGGGGUUUCCUUUCAUAAAUGGGGAGGGGGGAGUUCAUUAAGGACGAAGAUUUUACAAAGCCUAACCCUCCAGUGAAGUCACCAACCUUGUGAGUGUUCCGUGUGCAUCACAGCUCCUCGGAAGAUAUUUCAGAUUCGCAAGUACCAAGAACAUCAUAAAACUCCCUAUGCUAUCUCAGGUCAGAUCGGGGCACAAGCAGCUCAUCUUCGCUUUCAGAUUUUGUUUCCCAGGGUCUGAGAACAUUCUAGGGCCACCUCCAGAGGGCUGAGAAAAGAAUGCUUUGGGGAAGUGAAGUGUCACUUUGCUGCCAACCUAACCCUUCAGCACCUAAAAAAGAUUCUUAAAAAGCAAAUGAUAAAUGGAUGUGCUUUUUCUUAAUUCCAAAUCCACAUUUUCUGUCAUUGCAGUUAGAUGUGUUAAAUGCAUCCGUUUGAUUCUUAGAGGCUAUUAUAGUCUAGAAGACAAAGCAAGUCAGUAGCAUAUGCCUGAGUCUUGUCAUUUUGAAAGCACAUGAAAAUUUUAAAAUAGAAUGUUCUCCUCAAUAGGGAGCAGGGAAGUCUUUCUUUUCUGAUUGAAAUUCAGCUAGAAGGGGAAAUCUGGAAAGCUUAUGCCACAUCUGUUACACCAUUACCUCCAGCCAAGAGGGGAUCCUGGGGCAAAUUCUCAGCCAAGCUGGGGUCUCAACGGACCCUUUUUAAAGAGAGUUGCUGAGGCUGGGGGAUUCCUAGGAACUGGUUUCAUUUCUGUGCGGUUGUCCAGCUAUUUCCAGUGCUGUCGAGGGACCAAUACCAGGGGGACAGAGAAACAAGUCCGAUGCUGGUGUUUCAGGAGUAGAGGAACAAAAUAGAGUGAGCCUUGGGGCUGUGCCUGCUCCCAAGCAUGGGGAGGGGAGGAUUCCUGGUCAAAUGAACCUUCAAAUUCUAAGUAUCCUAAUGGUGGAAUCUUGGUGUUUAUUGUGAAGUCAGGCCAUCGUUAAACCGGAAAUGGCUUCCUACACAGCUCCUCCAAGGCCGGAACUAAAAAUCCACGCCACCUCCAGGUGUAGACUCCUCCCUAGCCUCAUCCUUUCCUUCCUCUGGGGAGAGAAGAAGCUUUAGCAAAGACUCCAGUUUUCUCAGGCUUUCUGAAGAAAUAGAAUAACCAUGGCAGACAAAUUCAAAUGUGCAGAGAACACAGCACAUAGCUCCGGGGGUGGGGGUGGAGCGGGGAAUGUCUUCUCUGGGCCCAGGGCCCCUUCUGUGUCCGUGAGAUGGUGUCUUCCGCGCUCCCUAGUUCUGCAGGCUGUGUGGGCCAAGCCUCGAGCUUGU
rnacentral:lncRNA from 1 species